UGGGGAAUUUUGCACAAUGGGGAAACCCUGAUGCAGCGACGCCGCGUGAUUUAGAAGGCCUUCGGGUUGUAAAAAUCUUUUUUACGGGAUGAAAAUGACAGUACCGUAAGAAUAAGGUCCGGCUAAAUACGUGCCAACAGCCGCGGUAAUACGUAUGGACCGAGCGUUGUCCGGAAUCAUUGGGCGUAAAGGGUACGUAGGCGGCCUAGUAAGUUAGAAGUGAAAUAAUAUAGCUCAACUAUAUAAAGCUUUUAAAACUGCUAGGCUUGAGAGAUGGAAGGGAAAGUGGAAUUCCUAGUGUAGCGGUGAAAUGCGCAGAUAUUAGGAAGAAUACCGGUGGCGAAGGCGACUUUCUGGUCAUCAUCUGACGCUGAGGUACGAAAGCGUGGGUAGCAAACAGG
rnacentral:rRNA from 1 species